AAUCAACGCUGGCGGCGUGCCUAACACAUGCAAGUCGAACGAGAAAGGUCCCUUCGGGGACUGAGUAAAGUGGCGAACGGGUGAGUAACGCGUGGGUGAUCUGCCCUUUGGUGGGGGAUAACUCGGGGAAACCCGGGCUAAUACCGCAUAAGCCUCCGUAUUCGUUUAUGGAGGGAAAAGUGAUUUGCCGAAGGAGGAGCCUGCGUUCGAUUAGCUAGUUGGUGAGGUAAGAGCUCACCAAGGCAGCGAUCGAUAGCCGGUCUGAGAGGACGGACGGCCACACUGGGACUGAGACACGGCCCAGACUCCUACGGGAGGCAGCAGUGGGGAAUUUUGGGCAAUGGGGGAAACCCUGACCCAGCAACGCCGCGUGGAGGAUGAAGGUUUUCGGAUCGUAAACUCCUGUCCAGAGGGACGAAUAAAGUGACGGUACCUCUGGAGGAAGCCCCGGCUAACUCCGUG
rnacentral:rRNA from 1 species